UACGUAGGGUGCAAGCGUUGUCCGGAAUCACUGGGUGUAAAGGGCGCGUAGGCGGCUGCGUAAGUCAGGGGUGAAAGUUCGUCGCUCAACGAUGGAAUUGCAUCUGAUACUGUGCGGCUUGAGUUUAGGUGAGGGUGGCGGAAUGCGACGUGUAGCGGUGAAAUGCGUAGAUAUGUGGAGGAACACCGAUUGCGAAGGCAGCUGGCUGACCUAAAUUUGACGCUGAGGCACGAAAGCGUGGGUAGCAAACAGG
rnacentral:rRNA from 1 species